rnacentral:lncRNA from 1 species
UAUUUAAAUGUGUACAUUUCAAAGUGUUUCCACAUAUAUUAACUUCAUUGAUCCUCCAGACAACCAUGUAGAUUGGACACACCCAGGAAAGAUGACUAAGGAAGGCUAUUCUUUUUUUAUUGAGACAGGGUCUUGCUCUGUCACCCAGGCUGGAGUACAGUGGCAUGAUCACAGCUCAUUGCAGCCUCGACCUCCCUGGGCUCAGAUGAUCUUCCUACCUCAGCCUCCUGAGUAGCUUGGAUUACAGGAAUGUGCCACUAUGCCUGGCUAAUUUUUGUAGAGAUGAGGUUUCACCAUGUUGCCCAGGCUGGUCUCUAUCUCCUGAGCUCAAGUGAUCUGCCUGCCUCGGCCUCCCAGUGCUGGGUUUGCAGGCAUGAGCCACUGUGCCCAGUCAGGAUGGCUAUUCUUAUGAUAAAGGCUAAGAUAUUUAUUCUUCUUUCCCGCUUUGGAAUUCAUAUACCUGAGAACUCUAUGAUUCACCCUCUCACUACUAAUUUUAGAAAACAAGCUGUCCUUUUCCAUUCCCUCAAAAACAAUAGGAGUCCAAGUAAUAAAUGAACACUAGGAAGUCAUAGCAUCAUAUGUAACAUGUUUAGCAUCCUCCCUCCUGACAUGGAUGCUGUUCACAUGUUCACUGAUAAGGAGCCUGAGAUUCAGAGAGGUUCAGUGGUGUGUUCACAUAGCUGAGACUAGAAUCCAGGUCUCCUAACUCUCAGUCUUGCCCCCUUUCUGCCAAUACAGUGUCUCUCUUGUAUUUCUAGAUCAAGGCAAAGAGGACACUUUGAUAGUUCUCCCCACACUUGUGUGUCCAUGAUUGUGUGUGUGUGUGUGUGUGUGUGUGUGUGUGUGUAUGUUGUGGGUGGAUAAUAUGUAAAUGCAAGAACUGUGAUGUACUCAACUCAGGGUCCAGAGGGUGCUGCAGUGUGGUGUUUCUCAAAGUGCAUCUAUGGCUUGUCAGGUUAGGGAGAGAAGGCAGCACUCGGGACCUUGUCCAUUUAUUCUGAAAGGAAUACAUGUAAAAUAGUCCCAUAGGGGUGUCAGAAAGCUUGGCCUUAAGGUCAAAAGAGCACACCCUGAAUACAGGUUUGCGCGUUUGCUGGUGUGUGAGCUAACAAAUGCCACUCUCACACGGUUUCUUUCAGUCCCACUGUGGAGCUUCCCUGAGGGUGCCCGGGCAAGUCUUGCCAGCAAGGCAGCAAGACUUCCUGCUAUCCAAGCCCAUGGAGGAAAGUUACUGCUGAGGACCCACCCAAUGGAAGGAUUCUUCUCAGCCUUGACCCUGGAGCACUGGGAACAACUGGUCUCCUGUGAUGGCUGGGACUCCUCGCGGGAGGGGACUGCGCUGCUAUAGCUCUUGCUGCCUCUCUUGAAUAGCUCUAACUCCAAACCUCUGUCCACACCUCCAGAGCACCAAGUCCAGAUUUGUGUGUAAGCAGCUGGGUGCCUGGGGCCUCUCGUGCACACUGGAUUGGUUUCUCAGUUGCUGGGCGAGCCUGUACUCUGCCUGACGAGGAACGCUGGCUCCGAAGAGGCCCUGUGUAGAAGGCUGUCAGCUGCUCAGCCUGCUUUGAGCCUCAGUGAGAAGUCCUUCCGACAGGAGCUGACUCAUGUCAGGAUGGCAGGCCUGGUAUCUUGCUCGGGCCCUAGCUGUUGGGGUUCUCAUGGGUUGCACUGACCAUACUGCUUACGUCUUAGCCAUUCCGUCCUGCUCCCCAGCUCACUCUCUGAAGCACACAUCAUUGGCUUUCCUAUUUUUCUGUUCAUUUUUUAAUUGAGCAAAUGUCUAUUGAACACUUAAAAUUAAUUAGAAUGUGGUAAUGGACAUAUUACUGAGCCUCUCCAUUUGGAACCCAGUGGAGUUGGGAUUUCUAGACCCUCUUUCUGUUUGGAUGGUGUAUGUGUAUAUGCAUGGGGAAAGGCACCUGGGGCCUGGGGGAGGCUAUAGGAUAUAAGCAUUAGGGACCCUGAGGCUUUAAGUGGUUUCUAUUUCUUCUUAGUUAUUAUGUGCCACCUUCUUAGUUAUUAUGUGCCACCUCCCCUAUGAGUGACGUGUUUGAUCACUAGCAGAAUAGCAAGCAGAGUAUCAUUCAUGCUGGGGCCAGAAUGAUGGCCGGUUGCCAGAUAUAACUGCUUUGGAGCAAAUCUCUUCUGUUUAGAGAGAUAGAAGUUAUGACAUAUGUAAUACACAUCUGUGUACACAGAAACCGGCACCUGCCAGACAGAGCUGGUUCUAAGAUUUAAUACAGUGCUUUUUUUCCUCUUUGAAAUAUUUUACUUUAAUACCAGUGCCUUUUCUUGUUGAACUUCUUGGAAAAGCCACCAAUUCUAGAUCUUGAUUUGAAUUAAUACACACAAUAUCUGAGACACUUACACUUUUCAAAAGAUUUGUGUAUGCAUUGCCUAAUUAGAGUAGGGGGAGAAGGGCAACUAUUAUUAUCCCUAUUUUACAAAACUGAGGCUUAGUGAGGUUCAGCCACAUGCCUAGACUUAUAUACUAGUUAGUGGUGCAGCCAGGGAGAGGACUCAGAUUUCCUGGAGGCAAAGUCUAUCUCUGAAACUCCAUGAAGACUUUUGCAGCCAGUUCCCACCAAUAUGCCCCAGACGUGAGACAAACAAGGACUUUUUUUUUUAUAUAGAGCCAUCCAUAAAAUCCUAAGCCCUUUUAUUAAUGUAUAACCAGGAGAACAUCUGUGCCAACGGUUGGACUUUUUAUGGCUGAGAUUCGGGAGGAAGUGUGACACCAAGCAGGAGAGGAAGAAUGAUUUUCUUUGUACUUAGGUUUUCUAAGGACAUUGUUUUAAUCUGUAUCGUGCCAAAGUUGUAUCACUGUUAAACUUCUGAAGACAUAACCAGUUGAGUCUUAUUUCAAGAUAUGUUCUCAAGCCAAUUGUGUGCUUCUCUUGUUUCUGUGAUUGCUUUCUAGCCAAAGCGAAGCUUGUACAGGUUGAGUAUCCCUUAUCCAAAAUGCUUGGAACCAGAAGUGUUUCAAAUUUUAGAUUAUUUUCAGAUUUUGGAAUGUUUGCAUAUACAUAAUGAGAUAUUUUGGGAAUAGGACCCGAGCCUAAACACAAAAUUCAUUGAUGUGUCAGUUACACCUUAUCCACAUAGCCUGAGGGUAAUUUUAUACGAUAUUUUAAAUAGUUGUGUACAUGAAGCAUGGUUUGUGGUAACUUAUGUGAGGGGUUUUCCCAUUUUUUGUCUUGUUGGUGCUCAAAAAGUUUUGGAUUUUGGAGCAUUUCGGAUUUUGGAUUUUUGGAUUAGGGUUGCUCAACCCAUAUUAUUGGCUGUACAUCCUGGUCACUUCUGACUUCUGUUUUUACUAAUGGAAGCUUUGCAAAUUGAAUUCUCAGUGAGUUGUAUAUUUAUACACCUGGCUUGAAGCCUUAAUUGUAUAUAAUGAUGCUUUUUAAAAAAUGCUAUUUGGAAGACUAUUUAUUUCUCGUGUAUAUAAUGUAUAUAAAAAAAUAUGGUUAGUGUUUACCUAAGGUUAACCAAUUUCAAGAUUAAAAUUUUUAAAUAGUAAAAUAAUAAAAAAUUAUAAAGUUCUU